AUACUUACCUGGAUGGGGUCAAUGAGCGAUCAAUAAGACUCAUGGCCUAGGUUGGUGACUUUCAUUGCACUCUGAAGGGGUGCCCACCUAAGGUUGGCCUAAUUGGUCGAGCCUAUGUCAUAAUUUGUGACAGUGGGGCUUGCGUUCGCGCGGCCCCUGU